rnacentral:rRNA from 1 species
AACGAACGCUGGCGGCAUGCCUAACACAUGCAAGUCGAACGAGACCUUCGGGUCUAGUGGCGAACGGGUGCGUAACGCGUGGGAACCUGCCCUUCGGUUCGGAAUAACUCCCCGAAAGGGGUGCUAAUACCGGAUAAUGUCUUCGGACCAAAGAUUUAUCGCCUUUGGAUGGGCCCGCGUUGGAUUAGCUAGUUGGUAGGGUAAAAGCCUACCAAGGCGACGAUCCAUAGCUGGUCUGAGAGGAUGAUCAGCCACACUGGGACUGAGACACGGCCCAGACUCCUACGGGAGGCAGCAGUGGGGAAUAUGGGACAAUGGACGAAAGCCUGAGCCAGCAAUGCCGCGUGAGUGAUGAAGGCCUUAGGGUUGUAAAGCUCUUUUACCCGGGAUGAUAAUGACAGUACCGGGAGAAUAAGCUCCGGCUAACUCCGUG